UGUUUAUUCCCUCCGUUCCAUAAUUCUUGUCGAAAUAUCACAUGUAUCUAGACAUCUUUUAAGAAUAGAUACAUUCAUUUUUAGCCAAAUUUGAGACAUGAAUUAUAAAACGGAGGGAUUACUUU
rfam:Brachypodium distachyon strain Bd21 chromosome 2, whole genome shotgun sequence.